UACGUAGGGGGCAAGCGUUGUCCGGAUUUAUUGGGCGUAAAGAGCGUGUAGGCGGUUUGGUAGGUCCGUUGUGAAAACUCGAGGCUCAACCUCGAGACGCCGAUGGAAACCAUCAGACUAGAGUCCGGAAGAGGAGAGUGGAAUUCCUGGUGUAGCGGUGAAAUGCGCAGAUAUCAGGAGGAACACCGGUGGCGAAAGGCGGGUCUCUGGGCCGAUACUGACGCUGAGGAGCGAAAGCGUGGGGAGCGAACAGG
rnacentral:rRNA from 1 species